rnacentral:rRNA from 1 species
AUGGGGGGAGGUGAAAUAACAGCAGCAGCAGCAGCAGAGGAAGAGGAUGAUGGGGUACUGCUUUUCCCAGCUCAUCUCUGUGACUCGCUUCGGGAAUUGGAGUUCUAUGACUGCCCAGAGCUGUUCCUGGUGGACCCACCAACUCUUGUUCCUGGAAGAGGAUGGCUCCAAGCCUUGCAAUCCCUCCAGAGAUUAACAAUAAUGUUUUGCCCAAAGUUUCUAUUUGCCUUUUCUUUUUCCCGUCAUAUUUUUCCUUCCUCCCUGCAGUUCCUGCAGCUUAUGGGUGUUGAAGGCAUGGGGACACUAGAGCCCCUCUCAAACCUCUCCUCUCUUACCAGAUUACGAUACUUCAGCAAGGAGCAAGAGGACGCCCUUCAGCUCCUCUCCUCCCUGCAGGAACUUAAGUUUGAGAGUUUCAAGAACCUUCAACAACUCCCUGCAGGGCUGCAAAACCUUACCAGCCUCAAGAUAUUAUCAAUCUCCGUCUGUCCAGCAGUGUCGUCAUUACCGAGCGAUGGCCUCCCGAGAUCACUACAAGAGCUAAAUUGUUUUGCUACUGAUAAGGUUUGCAGUUUUGCCAUCCAGGAUCUUCAGAAGAAUAACCGGCAAAUCAACCAAUCCACCAACAGACUGGCAGAGCUGCACAUAAGUUAA